rfam:Homo sapiens chromosome 19 genomic contig, GRCh38 reference assembly alternate locus group ALT_REF_LOCI_5.
GCCGGGCAUGGUGGCGGGCGCCUGUAGUCCCAGCUACUUGGGAGGCUGAGGCAGGAGAAUGGCUUGAACCUGGGAGGCGGAGCUUGCAGUGAGCCAAGAUCGCGCCACUGCACUCCAGCCUGGGCGAGUGAGACUCCCUCUCAAAAAAAAAAAAAAAAAGAAAAGAAAAGAAAAAUUCAGGGUUUUUUUUUUCUUUUUCAGAAAGUCUUGCUCUGUCGCCCAGGCUGGAGUGCAAUGGUGCGAGGCUUACCACAACCUCCUCUUCCCGGGUUCAAGCGAUUCUCCUGCCUCGG